rnacentral:lncRNA from 1 species
UUUAUUUUAUAUUGCUAAAUAGCUGUUACCUCCCCAGACAGUGUAAGAGCAGGAAGGACUGGAGUUUGGUGUGUUUUGAAAAUGACACCUCAUCUCAGGAUCUACCUGUGACUCUUAAGGUGAUAACUUCAAGAAGUGUUCUUCCUCUUUAAUUUAUCCUCCUAUGAAGUGGGACCAAAAUUAAUUGCUUUUAGAGCAUAGAGCAGCACAAUUCAUUGAAUAUGUAUAUAGUUACUUACCACAAAUAAUAUUGAUUGACUGCCCACUAUUUCAGUGGUUCUGAGUUAGGAGCAAUAUAAUUUUUUUUAAAUGCAAAGAAAGCAAGAUUAAUUUUUAAGGUGUUUGCCAAUCUUUGAGUCAUGUUUUUAAGAACAAUUUUAGGUCCAAUUUUGCCAGUGUGCAGGCACAAAACAUUAUUGGCAUGAAAAUCUGUGAGGGUCUUAGAACCAGAAUUUUUAGGAGUGAAUAUCAUGUGAGAUGGCUCAAUCAGAAAAGCGUAUAUUUCAUGUGCUGGGAGUUCGGAAGAGCUUUGUGGGAAUCAAUGGUCUAUUAUAAGAAUUAGAUUUUAAUUCAUCUCAGUUUUGAGCUUCUGUAGAACUUAGCACAGUAUGGUGAAAACAAGGAUAGUCAAUAAACAUUAAAAAUAAAGAACAAAUGAGUGAGCAAAGCCCUGAAUUUGAUUUUCAUUCUUAUCUUCUCCGUAGACCAUCUUGUACAUAAAACCUUGUCUACUGCAUGCCUCUGAAAGUUCGUCAUAAAAUGAUGUCAUCUUCUUUCUUGUUUUAUAGCUUGUGAUGAAUAGCAAUCCUCAGAUCCAUUCCCAAAUUUAAGUGCAUAGAAAAAUCUGAUUAAAAAGGCACGUUGAAUUUUCCUUAUCAUCACUGCGACCUAACUAAUAUAAAUCUUUGUGAUCCUAUUGCUGGGACUGUUACUAUCUACCACAGAUUUGUACUGGGGAGUCAGAAAAAUCGCAUUACCUUUUUUGGAUAGGAUCUGCUGUUUGACUGUUUACUUUGAAGAUACAUGCAUGCCUACUGCUGGUGGAAAAAUAAAUUGAUACGAGUUUUUGGGACAUUAAGUUUGCAAUAUGAAAUAGUCAACUUUAAAAGGCUGAAUGCCUCACCUGGGAGUGAGAACCUAUUUCUAUGAAAUAAAAAUAAAUUAGGCUGAGGUGGGAGGAUCACUUGAACCCAGGAGUUUGAGGCUGCAGUAGGCUAUGAUCAUGCCACUGUACCGACAGAGAGAAUCUCUGUCUCUGCAAAUAAAAUAAAUACAUAAAUAAAUGGCUGAAUUCUUUGAUCUUAUAAUUCCAUUUCUUAGAAUUAUUAAAUUAUCAUGAG